AGCGAACGCUGGCGGUAGGCCUAACACAUGCAAGUCGAACGGCAGUACAGUAAGAGCUUGCUCUUACGGGUGGCGAGUGGCGGACGGGUGAUGUAGACAUCGGAAACUACUGGUUCGUGUGUGAUAACGUAGGGAAACUUACGCUAAUACCGCAUACGACCUAUGUGUGAAAGCAGGCGAUCUUCGGACUUUGCGCGUUUGAAUAUGCCGAUGUAGGAUUAGCUAGUUGGCCGGGUAAAAGCCGACCAAGGCGAAGAUCCGUAGCUGGACUGAGAGGAUGAACAACCACACUGGAACUGAGACUGGGUCCAGACACCUAGAGGGGGCAGCAGUGGGGAAUAUUACGCAAUGGGCGAAAGCUUGAUCCAGCCAUACGGAGUGGAUGAAGAAGGCCUUAGGGUUGUAGAACCCUUUUGUUGGGAAAGAAAAGCAGCAGUUUAAUACCCCGCUGUUCUGACGUUACCCGAAGAAUAAGCCCCGGCUAACUUCGUG
rnacentral:rRNA from 1 species